rnacentral:rRNA from 1 species
GAUGAACGCUGGCGGCGUGCCUAACACAUGCAAGUCGAACGGAGUCCAGCCUUUAAGACCUUCGGGUCAAAGAGGGGAAGACUGAGUGGCGGACGGGUGAGUAACACGUGGGCAACCUGGCUCAUAGAGGGGGAUAACAGAGAGAAAUUUCUGCUAAUACCGCAUAAGCUCACACUGCCGCAUGGCAGAGGGUGAAAAGAGAAUCGCUAUGAGAUGGACCCGCGUCUGAUUAGCCAGUUGGCAGGGUAAGAGCCUACCAAAGCGACGAUCAGUAGCCGAUCUGAGAGGAUGAACGGCCACAUUGGGACUGAGACACGGCCCAAACUCCUACGGGAGGCAGCAGUGGGGGAUAUUGCACAAUGGGGGGAACCCUGAUGCAGCGACGCCGCGUGAGUGAAGAAGUAUUUCGGUAUGUAAAGCUCUAUCAGCAGGGAAGAUAAUGACAGUACCUGAAGAAGAAGCCCCGGCUAACUACGUG